rnacentral:lncRNA from 1 species
AUCCCUCUUAACAACCCAACAUCAAUGAUCCAAUAACACCAAAAAUUGAUAAACAAAAUAAAAUCACACAUGAAAGCAUGCUAACAGAGAAGCGGGGAUCCGUCAACAACAUUCAUCAAGCUAUUGUCAUAAGAUGAGAUAAGAACAAAAAGAACCUUUUAUAGAUGCAUCUGAGCUUCGAUUUCUUGACAACUUUUGGAGAAAAAACACCAACAAAACUACGUACAAGACCUCAACAGAAACUUGUCCAAACCUCCUCGAACUCGGCUACAAUGAACACCUCAACUCGAUUCUUGGACUUUGGAUUGGAAUGCUCGAUGGUUAUGGAGUAUUUUCAGGCGAUGUUCUCUCUCUAUUGCCAUCCGUCUCCAUCAUAGCAGUCAAAGGGAAAGAGGAGACGAUGAGAAAGAAGAGCAGUGGCCGUAUUAGAUUUCUCCGGCGAGUCCGGUGACGAGAAAGAGCGGCGGCGGCAUGGAUCUUCAAGAGGUGUCAUGGCCGCGUUUGAUUUUUCUUUUCUUGUGCCUGUGUGUGUAUGUGUUCCGGCGAGUGGGUGGUGAAGGGGUCGAGGAGAAGAUGAAGUCAGGAGGGUUUUCUGAAAGAGAACAUAUCCAGAUUGGGGAGGGGAGUCCGAAAAAUGGUCACAAAUGGCGCCUCAUUUCCUAGAUCCCUAAGGUCUUCCGUCUGAUUAGAACCUUUUUGCUUUUUGUGUAUCUUUGUUCGUUUUCAGAGAAAAAACGCGGGUCCUCCUGGUUUUUUCGGUGUUAGAUACUACAUAUAGGGGUAGGGAUUAGGUUAGGGGUAUGGGCCUAGGAAUUAUGGGCUUGAGAAUUAUGUGCUAGAUCCAAAAUUAGACCUAAAAAUGGGUUGCUCGAGCCCAAGUUUUAUACUUUCUCCGCGAACGGGACUAAAAUGUGACCUUAUUUAUUAAUUAGUCAUACUUAAAUAAAAUAACUGUUAAAAUAAGACUGACCAUUAAAACAAACUAUUUUUUUUGGUAUUUUUUCAAGGUUAAAAAUGACUAACAAAACAUUAAUGGAAUAAUUUUUUGUAAUUUUUAUUUUCUUGUAUAAAAUAAAGUAAAAGAGUAAAAAUUAGUUGAAAUAGCUAUAUUAGGCCUAAUUAAAUAUUUACGUGCUAAAAUAUGAAAAAUCUUGGGGAGCUGUCACACCUCCUUUUUAUUGUACCCUUGGAAGGGAGUAUAAAUGGGAGUUUUUUCUAAUUUAAAGUGACAAUCGAAACGGGAUUGUUUUAUUAAAAAUUCAGAGUCGCCACUUGGGAUAAUUUAUGGUGUCCCAAGUCACCGGUUCAAAUCCCAAAUCAAGAAAAAGAUUGACUCUGUAUUACAGUCCGCGAACACAGAAAUCCGAGUAGGGAAUUCUGUUAACCUGGGGGAAGGUGUUAGGCAUCCCCNNNNNNNNNNNNNNNNNNNNNNNNNGCCUAUGGUAUAUUAUAGCUUAUUAACCGUUUUAAAUCAUUUUUAAGAAGAUUCAACGUUAUCUAAAAUAAGCCUUGAACCACGCCACAUGAAAUGCACUCGUAGUCCACGACACGUUCUAUUUAACCUUGUUGGAAAUUAGAAUUGGGUCACAUGAAAUGCACACCUGUAUCCCUUAAAAAAUAGUAAUGUAUUGUUUUUGACCGAACAGGUUAUCUAAAACGAAGUAAAUGUAUUCAGACUUAGCGUGUAAACCAUCAAAGGAAAUAAACUCAUGCACUUACCCGUUCAAUUCAAUCCAACUACACCCCUAGAUCUUUUGCUAUUAUAUUUAUCUACUUCAACAAAAUCCAUUCUUAGAUUAUAUGAACAAACAUGGCAUCCUAACUUAAGAAACCAACAAUAAAAAUACCCAUUAAAUUAAUCUAAAAUAAAGAUGAAUAAGAUUGACAUCACUUAACGAGCAAAAAUAAGAAUUCAUUACAUGUGUUACUAAACAUUCUUAAACUACCAAGAAGACACUCAAUCUUCAAAGAAGCAGAAUAACGAACCAAGUCUCUAGCAGACUUCAGGAAUGAGAGAAACGAUUUGCACAUUUACACAAGAUCUACUUUAGAGGCCAGCCAUAGAAAUCUGAUCAAUCCCUCUUAACAACCCAACAUAAAUGAUCCAAUAACACAAAAAAUUUGAUAAACAAAUAAAAUCACACAUGAAAUCAUGCUAACAGAUAAGCGGGGAUCCUUCAACAACAUUCAUCAAGCUAUUGUCAUAAGAUGAGAUAAGAACAAAAAGAACCUUUUAUAGAUGCAUCUGAGCUUCGAUUCGUUGACAACUUUUGAAGCUAAAACACCAACAAAACUGCGUACAAGACCUCAACAGAAACUCGACCAAACCUCCUCAAACUCGGCUACAACGGACACCUCGACUCGAUUCUUGGAAUUUGGACUGGAAUGCUCGAUAGUUAUGUAGUAUUUUCAGGCGAUGUUCUCUCUCUAUUUCCAUCCGUCUCCAUCAUAGCAGUCAAAGGGAAAGAGGAGACUACGAGGAAGAAGAGUAGUGGCCGUAUUAGAUUUCUCCGGCGAGUCCGGUGACGAGAAAGAGCGGCGACGGCAUGGAUCUUCAAGAGGUG